rnacentral:tRNA from 1 species
GAGGGUACAGCUCAGUGGUAGAGCACAUGCUUAGCAUGCACAAGGUCCCAGGUUCAAUCCCCAGUACCUCCA